CAGAGAAAGAGACAGAACGAGGAGAGAGACAGGAUCAUGGGGGAGGGAGGGAGACAGAGAAUAUGGAUACGAAUAUGAGAGACAGGAAGUUUGGAGGGGGUGGGUGGUGAAAAGCCUGGAUCUGGGAGGAGUCAGAGCAAGAAGUGGGAUGAAGAUGAUAAAAAUAUGUUGUAUACAUGCGCUUGCCUCAGUGGGCCACACGUUAAUUAGGAUGCUACGCAAGAAAGAGUACACAAGAUGUUCCACAAGAUCUACACUGGAUGAGGACCUGGCACCUCCCAUUCUGUGGCCCCGGUCCCUUUCAUCAGCGGAACCCAGCACCUAUACAUGCAGGAAGGACAGUAAUUACCUUCCUGAAGAGCUGCAGGAACACAGUGAGGCGUGCGCACAAAGUGCAGCCCCUGACGCACGGCAAAAACCAGUCCUUCUAACACCAAGAAUACCUUUAAUGCUGGCACCCAGAAACUGUGAAAAAGCAAAGUCACCCAGCCUCUGGAUG
rnacentral:lncRNA from 1 species